rnacentral:rRNA from 1 species
AACGAACGCUGGCGGCAUGCCUAACACAUGCAAGUCGAACGAGACCUUCGGGCCUAGUGGCGCACGGGUGCGUAACGCGUGGGAACCUGCCCGUAGGUUCGGAAUAACUCCCCGAAAGGGGUGCUAAUACCGGAUAAUGUCUUCGGACCAAAGAUUUAUCGCCUUUGGAUGGGCCCGCGUUGGAUUAGCUAGUUGGUAGGGUAAAAGCCUACCAAGGCGACGAUCCAUAGCUGGUCUGGGAGGAUGACCAGCCACACUGGGACUGAGACACGGCCCAGACUCCUACGGGAGGCAGCAGUGGGGAAUAUUGGACAAUGGGCGAAAGCCUGAUCCAGCAAUGCCGCGUGAGUGAUGAAGGCCUUAGGGUUGUAAAGCUCUUUUACCCGGGAUGAUAAUGACAGUACCGGGAGAAUAAGCUCCGGCUAACUCCGUG